rnacentral:rRNA from 1 species
UACGUAGGGUGCGAGCGUUGUCCGGAAUUACUGGGCGUAAAGCGCGUGUAGGCGGUUGUUCAAGUCAGGUGUGAAAGCCUUGAGCUCAACUCAAGAAAUGCACUUGAUACUGGAUGACUAGAGGACCGGAGAGGAUAGUGGAAUUCCCAGUGUAGUGGUGAAAUACGUAGAGAUUGGGAAGAACACCAGUGGCGAAGGCGGCUAUCUGGACGGUUUCUGACGCUUAAGACGCGAAAGCGUUGGGGAG